AUGGUUUCAUCGCCGUCGCACCACAGCUCUACUGGAUGGUGGCCGAGCACGAUGCAGACGACGAGGCUUGCUCCGGAAAUGGCGGACGAGGAGUUAACUGAUAUGGUGGUAGACAUGGAGUUUGGAGAACUGAUGAAAAACUGGAUAGAAGAAUGGUCAGAUGAUGAAAAUUCAGAUCUUGGAAAUCAGUCAGAGAAUGGGAACGGAUGGGAAAAUUUGAAUAUGGAUGAGCAUGAUGAUGGUCAGGAAAACAAUUCGGAGCUCUCAAAUGAAGAUUGCAUUAGUCAGUUCAUUUUCGAAUGUCAUAAUGCGUACGACUAUUACCGUGAAUCCGACGCGGAGACAGGCCUUAAUGACGAAUCAUCAAAUGCACCUGAUUCUGGGGAUUCGCAGUCGUCGGUCACCAUCAGUGAGGUGACAGAAGAUGGUGGGGUAAUGAAUGUCCAAGAUACUGCCAGUGCAGGUGAUAAGAGGGAUAUGUUCAUGCAGAUAAUGGACAUGACUUUUAUGACUCACGAUGCUGCGUAUGAUUUCUACAACAGCUAUGCUAGAGCUAAUGGUUUCAGCAUUAGGAAGAAUAAGGUCAGGUAUACCAAAACCGAGGCACAUCUUAUGCGUUAUAGGAAGUUUGUUUGUUCCAGACAAGGGAAACGUGACAGCAAGUUGCUAACCGAGGAAGGGCACAGCCGUCGGCUCAGAGCCGAGACACGCUGCUUUUGCGAAGCACACCUGACUGUCAAGCUUGACCAAAAGCGUGGGGUUUGGUAUGUUGCAAGUUUUGAGGACAAGCAUAGCCAUAUGUUGGCAGGACCGGAUGAGGUACCUUUUCUUUGGUCCCAUAGAAAAAUCAAAGAGUUUCAGAAUCAUGAGAUAAUGUCCAUGGGAGCUGCAGGGAUUAGAAUUCACGACAUGAUGGAUUCCCUCAUCAGCAAACAUGUAUGGUAUGGCGGUGUUGGUUUUACCAGGCGUGAAAUAUACAACCUUUGUGCCAGGGAGAAGAGGAAGCUGCUUUCAAAAGGUGAUGCUGCCACAUCCAUAGGCAUCAUGGCCAGUAGGAAACAGAGGGAUCCUAGCUUCUUUUUCGAGUACAUGCUAGAUAAGGAAGGACACUUGAAUAGGAUGUUCUGGUGUGACUCCUAG
rnacentral:rRNA from 1 species